UACGGGGGGGGCAAGCGUUGUUCGGAAUUACUGGGCGUAAAGGGCUCGUAGGCGGCCAACUAAGUCGGAUGUGAAAUCCCCAGGCUCAACCUGGGAACUGCAUCCGAUACUGGAUGGCUUGAAUCCGGGAGAGGGAUGCAGAAUUCCAGGUGUAGCGGUGAAAUGCGUAGAUAUCGAGAGGAACACCUGCGGCGAAGGCGGGUUGCUGGGCUGAUACUGACGCUGAUGCGCGAAAGCCAGGGGAGCGAACGGG
rnacentral:rRNA from 1 species